CCGAAGCUGGGAGAUGGAUACAUGUUCCUAAUGUGUUGUUUGUGUUCUAGUCAAGCUGCUUGUGCCUGUCAACGUGACAAUGACAAAGACAAAAGACCAGGAGUAUGAGCUGAGGUGGACAAAACAGAUCCUAAGCUAUGGCUAUAUAGGCCAGAGAUAUGAAUUCUUGUAUUGGAAGACUGGUGACUCCUUGGAGUCUGGUCACCACUGAUUCUCCCACUGCUGGUUCCAGUCUUCACCAUCAUGCUGAUAGCAUUUGGCUGGUGCAGUUAUAGAGGCUUACUCAGCAAGAAGAAAAAAUGAGAGGAAAAGAUUCCAAAUCCUGGCAGGAGUCAGCUGCUCCAGAGCUACCUCCAGAAAGUACUGCUCGGGAUUCCGCUGCCAAGCAGCCAGCUGGACUUUGGCAAGCAGAGCCCUUCCAAGAAGACAGACCUGGUC
rnacentral:lncRNA from 1 species